rnacentral:misc_RNA from 1 species
GUUCCGUAGGUGAACCUGCGGAAGGAUCAUUAAAGAACGCCCCGUUUUUUGAAAUGGGUAAUUCUAAACCGUGUAUACAUACCUUUGUUGCUUUGGCAGGCCGCCCCUCAGGGCGUCGGCUCCGGCUGACUGCGCCUGCCAGAGGACCCAAACUCUUUUGUUUAGUGAUGUCUGAGUACUAUAUAAUAGUUAAAACUUUCAACAACGGAUCUCUUGGUUCUG